GGGCGUAAAGCGCAUGCAGGUGGUUUGUUAAGUCAGAUGUGAAAGCCCGGGGCUCAACCUCGGAAUUGCAUUUGAAACUGGCAGACUAGAGUACUGUAGAGGGGGGUAGAAUUUCAGGUGUAGCGGUGAAAUGCGUAGAGAUCUGAAGGAAUACCGGUGGCGAAGGCGGCCCCCUGGACAGAUACUGACACUCAGAUGCGAAAGCGUGGGGAGCAAACAGGAUUAGAUACCCUGGUAGUCCACGCCGUAAACGAUGUCUACUUGGAGGUUGUGGCCUUGAGCCGUGGCUUUCGGAGCUAACGCGUUAAGUAGACCGCCUGGGGAGUACGGUCGCAAGAUUAAAACUCAAAGGAAUUGACGGG
rnacentral:rRNA from 1 species